rnacentral:rRNA from 1 species
UACAGAGGGGGCAAGCGUUGUUCGGAAUUACUGGGCGUAAAGGGCGCGUAGGCGGCCUUCUAAGUCGAACGUGAAAUCCCCGGGCUCAACCCGGGAACUGCGUCCGAUACUGGAAGGCUUGAAUCCGGGAGAGGGAUGCGGAAUUCCAGGUGUAGCGGUGAAAUGCGUAGAUAUCUGGAGGAACACCGGUGGCGAAGGCGGGUAGCUGGGCCGACACUGACGCUGAGGCGCGAAGCCAGGGAGCGAACGGG